ACCUAAUUCAGCGCCUAUAAAUAGCACUGAGCUAUUAACUCCGCUCAGGUGACAACUUCACUCUGUCUAAGUAGUCUGUACAGCUGAUGAAAUCAGAUGCUCCACUUCUCAAUCACUUGGAAAAUCUAGCAAGUUUUUGAAAGCUUCAAUUUUUCUGUUAAAAGGUUCUUCAAGAUUCGAUUUUUCCAGCUUAAUCGUUAGUCAUUUUUAAAUGAGAGAUUAUAACUUAGUGCACCAAUCAGCCCUUUGCAGUUUCAAGUCCUUGAUUGCAAAGAAAAUUCGAGAUAAGGGAGCGUGAAGCACCAAAAUACAUAGUCGUUUGUUACCCGUCAUUCUGACUAUACGAGCAUGGUGCUAAAUAAAUGGUUUCUUCUCCUAUUGCCAGUUGGUUUGUGGCACCUGGCAAAGGUUGAUGGAGCUUCAGUCUUAGAAGAGCGACAUUUUGCUGGGAUUUGUCAUUGAAGUUAGUUUUAGUUCGUUCUAGUUUCUAUCCAGUUCAAUGUGAAGCACCUUAAAUUCUAAUGGAUGCUUGAUCCAUAUUGUUAACUUUCUUUGGCUUGUAAACAAUUAAUCAAUAAAGACAUAAUCUCCUCAUCUCCAUUC